GUCCAGAUUGCGGCGGACCAUAGCCAAAAGCCGGUCAAGGCGAUGGCGACAGCUGGCCAUAUGCGGGUUACGAGGCCCGCAAGGCCAGCUGU
rnacentral:sRNA from 17 species